rnacentral:ncRNA from 1 species
UCCUAUUGUUUAGCUAAAAUAAAGAAUUGCAAUGGUCCUUGCGGAUGCUCACGCAAUGUGAUUUCUUCCCAGAGGAAUGUCAAAGUGAAGAAAUCCAACCAUCUAAUUAGUGACGCGCAUGAAUGGAUUAACAAGA